CAAGUACUCCCUCCGUCCGGAAUUACUUGUCAUCAAAAUGGAUGUGUCUAGAACUAAAAUACAUCUAGAUACAUCCAUUUCAAUGACAAAUAUUUUCGGACGAAGGGAGUACAAG
rnacentral:pre_miRNA from 1 species